rnacentral:rRNA from 1 species
UACAGAGGGGGCAAGCGUUGUUCGGAAUUACUGGGCGUAAAGGGCGCGUAGGCGGUCUGCUAAGUCGAACGUGAAAUCCCCGAGCUCAACUCGGGAACUGCGUCCGAUACUGGCAGGCUUGAAUCCGGGAGAGGGAUGCGGGAAUUCCAGGUGUAGCGGUGAAAUGCGUAGAUAUCGAGAGGAACACCAGUGGCGAAGGCGAGUCCCUGGACAACUACUGACACUGAGGCACGAAAGCCUAGGGGAGCAAACAGG